UCCUCCUUGUAUGGAGGCAGUUCGGCCAGAGUGAUACAACUGACCGUAGGGGUUGCGCUCGUUACAGGACUUAACCUAACAUCUCACGACACGAGCUGACGACAGCCAUGCAGCAUCUGUGUAACAGCCUCGAAGGGGGCCCCUGUUUCUAGGGGUUUCCAGUUACAUGUCAAACCUGGGUGAGGUUCUUCGCUUUGUCUCGAAUUAAACCACACGCUCCACUGCUUGUGCAGGUCCCCGUCAAUUCCUUUGAGUUUUAACCUUGCGGUCGUACUCCCCAGGCGGGAUGCUUAAUGCGUUAGCUUGGGACACUGAAGGGGUCAAUACCUCCAAUAUCUAGCAUCCAUCGUUUACGGCGUAGACUAC
rnacentral:misc_RNA from 1 species